rnacentral:rRNA from 1 species
GACAGAGGGGGCAAGCGUUGCUCGGAAUUACUGGGCGUAAAGGGCGCGUAGGCGGGAUGGCAAGUCGGUCGUGAAAUCCCUCGGCUCAACCGAGGAACGUCGAUCGAUACUGCUGUUCUUGAGGAUUGCAGAGGAGACUGGAAUUCCCGGUGUAGCGGUGAAAUGUGUAGAGAUCGGGAGGAACACCUGUGGCGAAAGCGGCGCACUGGACCACUUCUGACGCUGAGGCGCGAAAGCUAGGGGGAGCAAACAGG